rnacentral:piRNA from 1 species
UGUAUCUCCAGGGCCUGGUGCUGCUCCGG